ensembl:snRNA U6 U6 spliceosomal RNA
GUGCUUACUUUGGCAGCACGUAUACUAAAACUGGAAUGAUACAGAGAAGGUUAGCAUGGCCCCUGUGCAGGGAUGACACUCAAAUUCGUGAAGUGUUGCAUAUUUUC